GAUGAACGCUGGCGGCGUGCCUAAUACAUGCAAGUAGAACGCUGAAGGAAGGAGCUUGCUCUUUCCGGAUGAGUUGCGAACGGGUGAGUAACGCGUAGGUAACCUGCCUGGUAGCGGGGGAUAACUAUUGGAAACGAUAGCUAAUACCGCAUAACAGCAGAUGUUGCAUGAUAUCUACGUAAAAGGUGCAAUUGCACCACUACCAGAUGGACCUGCGUUGUAUUAGCUAGUUGGUGAGGUAACGGCUCACCAAGGCGACGAUACAUAGCCGAACUGGAGAGGGGAACGGGCAAAACGGGAACUGGACAAGGCCCCAGACUCCACCGGAGGGAGCAGGAGGGGAACUUUGGGCAUGGACGGAAGUCUUAACGAGCAACGCCGGCGGAGGGGAUAAGGGUCUCCGAUUGGAAAGACUUGUUUAUAGGGAAGAAAGAGUGGGGGAGUGGAAAGUUCACACUGUGACGGUAUCUUAUCAGAAAGCGACGGCUAACUACGUG
rnacentral:rRNA from 1 species